AACUGGCUAGCUCAGUCGGUAGAGCACGAGACUCUUAAUCUUGGGGUCGUGGGUUCGAGCCCAACGUUGGGCG
rnacentral:tRNA from 1 species